GACGUAGGGUGCGAGCGUUGUCCGGAAUUAUUGGGCGUAAAGAGCUCGUAGGCGGCUUGUUGCGUCGGCUGUGAAAACCCGCGGCUCAACCGUGGGCUUGCAGCCGAUACGGGCAGGCUAGAGUUCGGUAGGGGAGACUGGAAUUCCUGGUGUAGCGGUGAAAUGCGCAGAUAUCAGGAGGAACACCGGUGGCGAAGGCGGCGACCUGGGUCGAUACUGACGCUGAGGUGCGAAAGCGUGGGGAGCAAACAGG
rnacentral:rRNA from 1 species